GAUCUAUGCAAUGCCUUUCGCAUCUGAAACACAGUGGCCCGUGCUGAGUAAAAUCAGGGAGCACUUGGUCCGGGGCGAGAUAAAAAGCACAGAAGUGACGAAAUGGUCUGCUGGAUGACCUUUUGGAAGCCUAGCUGUUUCCAGAUCUACAAGCUGGAGGCGUCUUACGGACAUUCCUUUUAUAGGCACCGUGACUUUAUCCAUCGGACACUGGAUGCUAUUGGCGGGAAACAAGCUAGAAAAACACAGUCUCAUUCUCCUUUAGGGAAUACAUGAUAACGGCUGAGUCUCUUCCCACAGAAGGUAAAACAAAACAACAAGACAGAACAAAGCAGAUCAGAAGAAAAAAAUGUGACACAGGAUUUCAAAGCAAGAUAACAGGAGAUCAACAGUAGCUACCAUAAUGUCUCUUGUUUUCUUCUAAAUAGUUGUUUAUAUCUUCACACACAAUGAAUUCAUACAAAAUAAAAUAGUAUUAAACUGAUCAGAAGAGAGUGAUGAAGGAAUUACGGAACUUCAAAACCAGACAAUAGGAAAAUUAACAGUGGCUGCCAUAAUGUCUCUUGUUCUCUUCAAAACAGCUGUCCAUACCUUCAUGUAUGUUGAAAUUAAACAAUACAAAACAGACUAAAACCAAUCAGAACAAAAAAUAGAAGCAUUACUGGGUUUCACAGCAUGACGAUAGGAAAUCAGCAAUGGAUACCAUCAUAUGUCUUUUUCUUCAAAGUAGCUGUUCAUAUCAUGAUGUCUAAUAUAAUCAAUUUAAUUCUCAUAAACUGUUUAGGAAAAGUUCUAGGCAUUCAUAAGCCUCUACAUGUAGACCUAUCCUUUCUGUAUUAGAGGGAAAAACAAAACAAAUUACUAGAAAAACAAGAAACAAAAAAGACAAAUAAAUAACAAUAGCAAAGAGCCCAAAACAAUGACAAUAUAGACCUUUAAGACAAGGUGGUAGGAGCAGAACUAAGGUUGUUAUUUUACAUAAUGAUCAUCAAGAGUUCCUCAGAUCACCAGGCACAAACAUGCAAAAUUGAUCCAAUCCUAUGAAUGUUAACUGUUUUCUUCCAAGAACUAAAAGAAUUUGUUAGCUAUUUUGUGUGUUUAUACAAAUUUAGAUAUUUUUAUUUUCCCUUAUACAAUUUUUCUUUGUAACCAUUUUUAAGUGCACAAUUCCGUGACCUUCAGUACCUUUACAAUGUUGAGCACCAGUGAUCACUGCCCGCUGGUCUCCAGAGCUUCUCUUUACCUGCUGUGGACACUCCAUACCAAGCCUGUUUGUAGCACGGGACUCAAUGAGAGGCAGUGGGGGUCCAGCGGUCACUCCUCCUUUCACAUUCCCUACCCUGGACACACAAUGGUCAUGGUGUUCCAGCCCCUCUUCAGGACAAGUCAGCAGAGGGACACCGUAGAGGGACACAGGCUGUGGCUGCCUCUGUUUCCUAUUGUCAAUCCCAGGAUUCUGUAGCCAGCAGACACUUAUACCCCUUCCCAAAGCCAAGCCUCAGCCAUCUGGUAGCCUAGCUUGGCCCUGACACAUAAUUGGCACUCAGUGUCUUUGAAUGAAUGAAUGAAUGAAUGAUGUAGAUGGGUCACCACCUUUUGGGAAAGAGACUUUGUAGCUGUGCUUGGUGAGAGCGAGUGACAAAGGCAUGUGUUUUCUUCAAGUGCUCACCCUGUCCCUCACUAAGUGUGUGGCUUGCUUUGCUAUUGGUAUCUUGGUUAAAUCACUAGAAUAACAGUCUCUGUCUGGGGCAUGCAGUUUGAGUGGGGCAAUGUAUCCAAGGUAAUUUAGCUUACAAAGUAGAAGCAACAAUUAUAUUAGUUCUCUCUCCCCUCCAGAGAACCUCUGGCUGCUCCUCCCAAAAGGACUUUCCUUUUUAUGAUGUCAGUUCCAUCUCCUAUUGUCUCUUUCACCAAUUCCUGAGAAAAAUGAUCGGCCCCAUUACCCAAGCCAUACCCUCAGCCCUUCCAGACUGGGAGGCUAACGUCUCAGUGUGAAAGAAGAAUGUCCACUUUCUUCGUCUUUAUCAGAAUUUGAGCCUCUUGAUUUCUAUGUGAUUGGAUGGACUUAGGUGAUUUAUUUCCUUUGUCUGUUCUCUUUCUUUCUUCUCCUGUCUCUAUGCACAUCUGUCCCAAUCCAUACACAAUCAUGGUGCAGCCCCCUCUUCCCAUCCUCUGUACUAGAAUGCUCUUUGCUCUUUCCAAAUCCAAGAACGUGGCUACCUUUACCUGGAACAGAGGACAUAAUGCUUACCUCGGGUUCCCAGGGUUUACAUAGUAGCCAUGACCCAUCGGUCACUCUUUGUAAUGCUUUUUUCAAUUACUCCUUCAUUGCAAUUAUUUGGUACCUUCCUCUCACCUACAAAUUCUAAGAUUGAUGGGGCUCUGGAUUUAGCUCAGUGGCAUAAGCACCUGCCUUGCAAGUGCACAGUUGUGAGUUCGAUCCCCAGUAACAAAAUCAAAACAAAACAAAACAACAAAUUCUAAGAUUGGGUCAUGGAGUGAAGAAAAUCAAGUGAUCUAGCAAAGAUCUUAUGUUUUGUUAGAUGUAUGACUCUCUACCAUGGGAUAUCAUUGAAAGACUUAAAACUCAGUGGAAAGGCUCUAGGAAUGGUGGUGCAUGCCUGUAAUCCCAGUACUCAGAAGACUGAGACAAAAAGGUCACUGCAAGUUUGAGGCCAGCCUGGGCUACAAAGUGAGUUCAAGACCAGCCUGAGCUGCAUAGUAAAACCCUGUCUCAAAAAGACAAAAAAACAACCAAACAAACAUCCAAAAAACCAAUCUUUCCUCAAAA